UGGGGAAUUUUGCACAAUGGGGGAAACCCUGAUGCAGCGACGCCGCGUGAUUUAGAAGGCCUUCGGGUUGUAAAAAUCUUUUUUACGGGAUGAAAAUGACAGUACCGUAAGAAUAAGGUCCGGCUAAAUACGUGCCAGCAGCCGCGGUAAUACGUAUGGACCGAGCGUUGUCCGGAAUCAUUGGGCGUAAAGGGUACGUAGGCGGGUAAGCAAGUUAGAAGUGAAAUCCUGUAGCUCAACUACAGUAAGCUUUUAAAACUGCUCAUCUUGAGAUAUGGAAGGGAAAGUGGAAUUCCUAGUGUAGCGGUGAAAUGCGCAGAUAUUAGGAGGAAUACCGGUGGCGAAGGCGACUUUCUGGCCAUAAUCUGACGCUGAGGUACGAAAGCGUGGGUAGCAAACAGG
rnacentral:rRNA from 1 species